CCUGACUGCAGCACGGGUCCUGCCAUGGCCCCUCAGCAUUUUGCUGAGCACAGCGAGUUACCUGGCAUGAUCGCGGGCAGACGCUUGUUUCCACAAGCCCUUGAAGCACAAGUGUGAGUGUGUCUGUAAAGAAAGUCAAGUUUGCAAGGAGAGGACUGGGCCUUUUGGUUUGGAGUCCUUGAGGUGUUAAAGUAAAAGAAGGGCUGCAUUUACAAGAGCACUGGAGAAGAGGAACGCCCCUUACAGGCAGUGGUUGGAAACCUUGUGCAGGAGGUGGAAGACUUGAUCCUGAAUUUUCAGAUCCAGUGGUCCCAUGCAGGAAUGAUUGAUUUUUUUUGCUUCGUCACCUGAAACAGGGGAUAGAGAUUUGUAUCAUCUUCAAGCAUGUUUGCGAGGUACCAUGUACAUUUUUUCUGCUGGUGCUGUUAAGGCCCCCUGACUUCAUUAAUGAAACUGCUGGAGAAAGCAUGGAAAGUUCAGUGGCAUUGGGCUCCCCCCAUUAAUGAACCAUACAGUGGCAGUGCAUAUUAUCCAGUGAUUGAUGGUGAAAGGGAUCACAGAUGCUUCUUCAAUUAAUCUGGAAUGUUGAGCAUUUUCUGACAGCACUUCUACAGCUGCUCCAACUAU